rnacentral:lncRNA from 1 species
UCAAAACAAAGCAAAUUUUACCAAUGAUCACGAAAAGGAAUUGCCAAAUUAAACAAGAACAAUCAUAUAACAAGAGGAAGGUUUCCUUCAGGGUCAACUCGCUAAUCUAGAAUAGGAGCCACCUCUUCAUCUUAAGCCCCAGAAAGAUAAAUCCCUAUCAUGUUUGCUAAAAGCUCCUCUCGACGCUCCAGUUGCUGAUGAAGAAAGCUGGUGUCAAGGUUAAGUACCUUUGCCCCAAUAAUAUUGAUGAUAUCAUGCAAAGCUACCACAUAAACCUCUUGGCUCAUAGCUUCAGCUUUUGGAGAUGAUUUCCAUUUCUCCACUACUCUACUUAUUUUACCCACUCUUCAUCAGUCCAUUCCUUCUCCAUUUCCAUCACCUGAACUACAUCUGUAUUUUUGAGUUUUUUGGCUCCAACUCCCAUUUAACUGACUCAGCCUUAUCGUUAUCUGCCAACAUCCUUUUCCAACCGAAACCUUAGCAAAACUUCACUAUACAAACAAGCUGCCAAUCAAUUUUCUCCUCAACCUAUUUUGCUUCUACUCUCAAAUCACGAGGCCUUUUCAUCUUUAGCAGUCCUUUGCAAAGCCAACACAUCUUAACGUAUUUGUUAAUGGCAUCCUCCUGCAUUAUAAUUUGCAAAAGAAAAAGAAAAUGGCUAAUAAAUGAGUUAAUAAAGUACAAAGUAGAGGAAAUUAUUUUCCUUUGUUAGAGAUAGACAUUAAGAUGAUAGAGCGAUGGGCAUAAACUGUUGCAGUGAUGUAGGACUCCUCUACACUCAUUUGGCCCAAUUAUCUCUGCUUAUGACCAUUCUAACUUUUGGUUAGAAGGCGAGCUAAAUUCCUGAGAAGAGAAGGAAUGGUAGAUGUCAUGGCCAUGGGUGGAGAUGGAGCUCUCUAAAUGUCUAUCAAAACUUCUAGCUAGAUUCCUACUAGCUCAUCCAAAUUGGAUCUAGGUAAAUCACUAUAAGUAGAGCUAGAGCAAACAAGAGAAGAAGUUAGAAGGAGAACCUUCGGAGGAUAUAGAAUAAUUGGUUCUGACCUUUCUAGCAGAGAUGAGGGUGGGAUUGGAGGGAAAGAUGGGCUUUCCUAAACAAGUUGCCUUUAAAUGCCUAACUAAUGGGACAUUAGUUUUUGCCACUCUUUUCUUUUGGCCUCAUGAAGGAUUGAUCGUCUUACUAGCCUCAGUAAAACCCUUGAUAUCUAUGUCUAUACCCAUUGAGGAAAACAUUAUUAUACUUCAGAAAUAAAAAUUGUGAGAAAAAGCCAUAAAUCAAAAACCUUCCAAAAAGGAAGUGGAGCUUUUGUAACAAAUAAGCCAGCCUGGAAAAGAUUGGAGUCACUUAUCAACGACAAAUAGGAUGCUACUUACAAUAAAGGGCUAUGAUCUCAUUUGCCCUCUCCUACAGCUUUAAAAUGAUCCUCGAUUGUAGGUACGCUGCAAAAAGAAAAGUUAGUUGUAACCUGCUCAUUAAAACAUUUGGAAAAUAUAAAAUAAUUACUAGCUUAUUUACUUUGUUAUAAUCGGUGGGCACAACCUCAUCCCUUUUCGCCUCAGAUGGAUGGAAUUGCUAAUCACCUUAGAUAAAGAAGAAUUCUUCUUUCCAUCUCUUGAUUGAAGAAGGAGAAUCUACAACCACAAAAGCCCCUCAUGUUUGAUCUUAUGCUAGUAUAAUACCACCCGAGUUUUUCUUGUCCUCUUUGAAGUUAUAAAGAGCAUUAAAAUGCUCAACAGUAAGCUCCAGAAAAUCCAGAUUAUGCCCUAAUAGUAAGUGUCCAAAAUAGUCCUCCACCCAUUCGGGUGGAGCUGAGUACGAGCCAUUCCCUAGGCAAAUAAAAAUGUACGAAUAAUGGGUGGAAAAGAGAGCCUAAGAUUGCCAGAAAAUAAGGUAGAGCUUAAGGCUACACAACAUUCUAGAGGAUCUCAAAAGCUUGAUCAUGUGGGAAAUAAAUGAUCAUUUCAAUCAGAAGUAUGUAUAUGGUAGGUCCUUUGCCAUUUCCCUAACUGCCUAGAUAACAUUGACGAUUUGAUAUGUAAGCAUUCCACCCCAUCUUCUCAUGCUUCAUCAUCGCCUACUUCAUCCACUACAUCAUUCCCAGAUUUUAUCUCUAAGUAGACCUACCAUCGCUGCAUCAUCCCCAGAAUGUACAAGUAAGACAGGAUGACAAUGCUUUAUUAUGGACACUACAGUUCUACCAAGUCGGACUACAGAGCAAGAGAAAAUACUUUAUGUACCUUUGACCCUGAGGAAGAACCUUGUUCAUUAGAAAGGAUGGACUCCUCCUGAUCGUUCCCCACAAAUGUAGCCUACUCUCAUCAGAAUUCAUACCCAUCGAAUAUAAGAAAAAAGUUUAAGGUAAAGAUAAAGACAGAGGAAGUGAGAACAAAAAUAUACCUGUUAGCUGGAUGAUUUAAAUAAAAUCAAGAACAAAAAAUAGGAAAACUCUCUUGAAUGGCCAAAGAGGAUAGAAA